ACAGGAUGUGCAUAAAUUCCAUUAUCUGCAAAGGUGGCAGCUUGGCAAUACAGAUUGCCACUAUGUUGGGAAUUUACGACUAUGAAAACUAAUUUGCGAUUCCAUGGUUUAGAAUUGCAGCAUUGAGUAACAGUUGCAUUCCCUGAAGGACAGCUUCUUCCAGCCAGAAAAAGUGCCACCUUUCAAAGCAUCCUGUUAUAUAGUGGGAGCCUCCAUUAUGUGAUGGGACUUCUUGCAGUUCCCAUUUUCCAUCACUGCAAUUCUUUUACAUGGUUGUGCAUCAAAUCAGG
rnacentral:lncRNA from 11 species